CUCCAUUUUAUUGGAAAUUGUCUCCAUCUUAUUCAGUGUUUCCCAAUUUGUUUAUAUUUUAAAAUCAAAGUCCUACAACUGAAAUUGACGUCUCACCCACUGGAAAAUUGCUCAAGCAAAUGAUGUGCUUGCAGCUUAAUCAUCCCCAACAUCGUUUAAUGUUGAUCAGAGUAUUGUGUUGUUGUGAUGGCUAAGCCUAGACAUCAUAGCUUUUCCAGAAUUCUAUGGAACUUGCAUAUGGAAACAACGAGAUGUCCCUCAACUGUUUAUGCCUGAUUUAUCAGGAAGCACGAGUGCUUCUAUUUGACCUUCCAAUCCUAAUGCUUCAGAAUUCAGAUGCUAAGUUAGUGCUUAACUACUCCAUACAAACAGGGGAGGCGUUUUAUCUUGAGUUUAUGCGUGAUUGGGUUAUAUGAUUAUUUUCUUAUAUAUGUUUUCUCUGUGGUUUUGAAUUUCUUAGAGCUCAUAAAAAUCAUGUUCUAAUUCAGAUAUGACUCUCUUCUCUCUCUCUCUAUUUGCAGCUACAACAUCUAGCAUCUGAGGAGAAGAAAAAGAAGAGCAAAGGGGAUACCUUUCUUAGCAUGUUCUUUGAAUCUUCUUUAUUUUCCAGAUUUCACACAUACAUCGGGCAUAUCAUAUAUAUUUGGUGAUGCAAUUGGCAAAGGAAAACAAGUUGCUAAAACCCCAAGACCCAAGAAGCCCAAAAAGAAGAAGAAAUAU